GGAUUAGAUACCCUGGUAGUCCACGCCGUAAACGAUGAGAACUAGGCGUUGGGGCGUUAAGCCUUAGUGCCGUAGCUAACGCGAUAAGUUCUCCGCCUGGGGAGUACGGCCGCAAGGUUAAAACUCAAAGGAAUUGACGGGGGCCCGCACAAGCGGUGGAGCAUGUGGUUUAAUUCGAUGCAACGCGAAAAACCUUACCUAUCCUUGACAUCCUGAGAAUCUCUUAGAAGUAAGAGAGUGCCUUCGGGAACUCGGUGACAGGUGCUGCAUGGCUGUCGUCAGCUCGUGCCG
rnacentral:rRNA from 1 species